rnacentral:rRNA from 1 species
UGGGGAAUAUUGGACAAUGGGCGCAAGCCUGAUCCAGCAAUACCGCGUGUGUGAAGAAGGCCUUAGGGUUGUAAAGCACUUUCAAUUGGGAGGAAAACCUGCCGGUCAAUACCCGGCAGCUUGACAUUACCUUUAGAAGAAGCACCGGCUAACUCCGUGCCAGCAGCCGCGGUAAUACGGAGGGUGCGAGCGUUAAUCGGAAUUACUGGGCGUAAAGCGUGCGUAGGCGGUUCGUUAAGUCAGAUGUGAAAGCCCCGGGCUUAACCUGGGAACUGCAUUUGAAACUGGCGGACUAGAGUUGAGUAGAGGGGAGUGGAAUUUCAGGUGUAGCGGUGAAAUGCGUAGAUAUCUGAAGGAACACCAGUGGCGAAGGCGACUCCCUGGACUCAAACUGACGCUGAGGUACGAAAGCGUGGGUAGCAAACAGGAUUAGAUACCCUGGUAGUCCACGCCGUAAACGAUGUCAACUAGCCGUUGGUCCUAUUUACAGGAUUAGUGGCGCAGCUAACGCAUUAAGUGACCGCCUGGGAGACG